GACGAACGCUGGCGGCGUGCCUAACACAUGCAAGUCAGGGAGAAGGAGGUAGCAAUACUUCCGGAAACCGGCGCACGGGUGAGUAACACGUAGGUAAUUUACCCUUGGGCGGGGAAUAACCACGCGAAAGCGUGGCUAAUACCGCAUAAUGCAACGAGACCGCAUGGCCUUGUUGUUAAAGAUCCGCAAGGAUCACCUGAGGAUGGACCUGCGCCCGAUUGGCUAGUUGGCGGAGUAAACGCCCACCAAGGCGACAAUCGGUAGCCGACCUGAGAGGGUGAUCGGCCACACGUGGAACUGAGAUACCGGUCCAGACUCCGUACGGGAGGCAGCA
rnacentral:rRNA from 1 species